GUUUAAAAAGGAUCCCUUUCCGCACAACCAACCGCAGUUGGCCACUGAAGACGAUCAAAAAACCGCAAAAACUUGAUCCCGCGAGAGGACUCCGUUUACCCAGACAAAUCGUUCGAAAUGGAAUCAUGGGCAAACGAUACCGCGCAGGAUGUCACCGUCGCGCUAGAUAACCAGCGUCGAGCGGUGGGGAAGGAGGCAAAGUGAACGAAUGGAGAAAAGGAUGCAACAGUCGAGUGCACACUCUGUUCGGGAUAAAGUCUCGCGGUGAGCUACGGAUAUUCGAGAUGGUUAGAGAAUAAAGAACCGACCAAAGGAAAAAAGUAAUGGAAAAGAAUGAAACUAUAAUUGAAAAAUGAACAGGGCAAGGCAAACAGAUUAACAUGUAUGAAUAACAGAUAGGUUAGAUGCAACAUGUAUGAGCUGCAAUCACGGUGCAAUCUGAUUUUACCAUCAACGGAGUGAAUCAAUUGAACUGAAACCAUGUAAGGGUAUGUUGGAAAAGAUGAAACGAAAAUAUGAAAAGGAGGUACAUGAGACAAAAUAAACAAGUUUGGUUAUAUUAUGUUAUAACUUAUAAUGUAACAUAUAUAUGGACUGCAAUCUGCACUUGCAAUUUGUUUGAAUUGGAAUUAUAUACAUACAUACUGACAUUCAUUUUUUCAUUCUCUAUUCGUUUUGUUUAUAUUGUCUACAGUCUACAUUUCAGGAAGAGGAUUAACAUGGUAUAUUACAGAUAAACUACGGAUUUUUAGACUAAAUUUAGAGGCAUAAAAAUCUGCAGACUGUAUAUGAUCUAGAAAAAUAAUAAAAUAUCCAAUGCUCUGUCCAAAGUAUUCUUUACAAUUUUUAUUGGAUGAAACAAAUUUCUAUGUAAGUUUCAUUUCUUUAGUCCUGUUCAUAAAAGCAUAAAAAUUAUAUAAAAAUUCGCAGUUUAAUUGUAAAUAAAGUAAUCAAUCUCUACCUAAUCUAAAUUAUCAAUUGUUCAGGUGCGCAAGAUUAGGUGAUUCACCCAGAGUACAAAGAAAGGAUGGAGGUGGGGUUAAGGUAAGUACAUAUAGGAGGAGGGAGAAUAAUAAUUCGACAAAGCGGCGGUCGGAAAGAAAGAAAUCCAUAUUCAGAUCCGAUGAUGUAUCCGGGGCCGCGGGAGGGCUGCUCCCCAUUCAAAGGGGAGGAGGUAAAGGGAAGCAAGCCUAUGGAAGAGGAAAGGAAGGAGGAAGCCGCGUGAACGUGCACUAGGUCCCACCACUACUAUACUCACCUCACCCUUUUCACAUCUUUCUCUGUUCGUACAGAGAGUAUAUGCCGCGUUUUGCCUUUAUCAUCGGCGGCGGCGGCAAACCCUUAGCCGCGCCACGAUUAUGAUUCCGAUUAUUAUGAUUAUGAUUAUGAUUAUGAUUAUUAUGAUUAUUGUUAGGUGGAGGUAUCGCGUUGCCGUCACGGGCACGUCGACCCGUGCUUUGUCCACGUGACAGCGAUAGGGCCCAUUUAUGUCGAGAACACACACUCCACGCCGACGUUAUAAUGGAGGAUAAAUCCAGCCGAAAAGACCACAAUACAUACAUCGUUCUGUCGUAGCAUUAACCGCAAAAUCCACAAAAAUCUCAGUUUCGUCCAGAAAGCGAAAAACGCACCAAACUUCCAAGCGUGAAUGUAUAGAGCGGUUAAAAAUCCUAUUCUAAAAAUUCCGAGAAAAUCAGCCUUCUAGAAACCAUUCCUACAUGAAGAAACACUCUACACCACUCGAACCAGUUCGAUAACCUAACCCGGCUCCUCUCGCCAUACCUAUACAACCCUCUCCUUCACUCGUCGCUGACGAACAACCUCGUCUACUUCAUCUUCAAAGAGACAACAAGCUCACUCUUCGAUAGGCUGUUACUGCUAGACGGAAAAACUGUAAUCGGAUCCGUUUCAAGCAGAAGGAGCAGGAAACACGAAGAGGAGUUUCGAAAAGACGUCGCAAAGAGAACUGGAACCGCUACCGACGAUGAUCAGACAACAUCUAUCGUCGACGCGGUCGUAAACCGACGAUACCAGACGAAAAGUCGACCGUUCGUCAGGUUGUCUGGCUAAGAUUCGCUGCCGUGGUUCCGUUUACGAAUCCACAGAAAGGAACGUAGAUAAAUACUCAUGGGCGGCUCUUAAAGUUUUACGACCGUGCCACGGUUCUACGUUUGCUCGCUCUAUUUGGCUAACGACAAUUCUGAUCUGCAUUUCCUCAAACCGAAACUAUCCUUAUCGCCCUCUGAGAUUUCUCGUGGCAUCUGGUGAAUCGCGCGUGGAAUGCGCUUGGCAACGCUUCCGCGUGUCUUUUGGCCGUUUUAUUGAUGGUGUACAACAAGUACUACACAGGAUUAUGCAAUUUUGUAUUUAUAGAAAUUCGGAUAUAAGGUAGUUUUAGUACGCGAUGCAGUGUUUCAAGAAUCUGCAAAGAAAAUUUUUCGGUGAAAUUAGAAUACAGAAUCCCUUGUUUUUCAAUGUCUUGGAACGUAUGUUUUAAGAAUAUUCAGAUAAAAUUGUGUUUCAAGAAUCUGCAAAGAAAAUUUUUGGGUGAAAUUAGAAUACAGAAUCCCUUGUUUUUCUAAUGUCUUGGAACGUAUGUUUUAAGAAUAUUCAGAUAAAAUUGUGUUUCAAGAAUCUGCAAAAAAAAUUUUUGGGUGAAAUUAGAAUACAGAAUCCCUUGUUUUUCUAAUGUCUUGGAACGUAUGUUUUAAGAAUAUUCAGAUAAAAUUGUGUUUCAAGAAUCUGCAAAGAAAAUUUUUGGGUGAAAUUAGAAUACAGAAUCCCUUGUUUUUCUAAUGUCUUGGAACGUAUGUUUUAAGAAUAUAGGAGAUUUUUAAUUAACGUUUUAAGCUUAAAUAUUUAAAGAAUUUUUAAAAAAGACUCGUGGAAGAAUUAGGGGAAAUAUGGUUUCUCUUUACUUUCUGUUAUUUCCUCCUUGUUCAUUUCUUAAACUAGGUAAACUAGACAAGUGAAAUUUUGUAUCGUUAACGAUCAGGUGGGCUGUUUAAAACAAUCCAGACAAUGCUGAGCAUUUCUGAGCGUAACAAAUGAGACAUUUUUAUUAAGCGAUGCUUCAGAAGCGUUCACAGAAAGCUUUGAAUAGAAUUAAAAUAUAGGAUCUUUCCUUAUCGAUAUCUUGAGCUGUAUUUUCAAGAUUGUCAAAGGAAAUUUUAAAUAUAACUUUUGAAGAAGACUUCCGGGGAACUUGAAAGAAAUCUGGUACUUUUAUUUUAAAUGAAACUUUUCCACAGAAUUGAAAGCGAUAUAGAAUUUCUUAAUCAAUGGAUAUUUUUAAAUGAAUCUUCCCUCAAGACAAACUGAAAAAUUCCUGCACAACUUCUACUUUCAUAUUUAAUUCUUCUAUAAAACGUCUAGACGUAAUAGAACCAGGAACUUCUGCGACUUUCUGAAUGCUUCGUCCCCCAAUCAUUUCAUCCCAUCUCCUACUGUACGUGUCAUCGUCGAUCAGGAUUAAUUAGCCGGAAGGAAAGACACGGAUUGUGAUUCCUCUAUGAACAUAGAGCACGGUGCUCGUGCGCAUUCAACGAGAGGAAACUUCACCUCGAUGUUCCCGCCGCGAUCUAAUGGUCACCCUUCGGGCAGAGUUUUGGCCCGGGGGUCAUCCCCUUUUUUCGCCGUGAAAGUCACGAGGGGGCCACUUUGGAUAGAAUGAGAUACGAACGAGGAACGUUGCAUAAGUAUAAUGCUGGCAGAGAAAAGGGGGAUGUUCGGUAAUCGAUACUAAUUAGGACGAGCUAAAGUUUCGGUUGUGAGAGGAACAGCGGCUCUCUUAUAGUAUUUGUAUAUACGUACAUAUAUGUACGCAUAAUUAUACACAGUGGUUAAUUAUUAUCCACUGAAAAGAUUCUUUUGAUUUUUUAUUAAUAUGUUAUUCAUUAGUA